CACAUAGCCAUCCUUACUACUUACUCUGGGAGGGCACCACAGCAAAUCCUGGCACCAAAACCACUACAGAGAGCUUUAGUGGUUAUUGUGCCUGGAUUGUUUCUUAAAAUUAUCUGCCAGUGCCCCUCCCGAGAUUAGCUUCUGGAUCCGCCACUGGUACAACAGGAAUGCAUUUUAAUGGUGCCACACUGGCUUUUAUGCAAGUCCCCAUGCAAGGGGC